rnacentral:ncRNA from 1 species
ACAGCUAGUCAUGCUAUAUGUAUCCUUAAACAUUUUUUUGUAAUUAAUGCCCAUAUUUAGACAAUUUGUAUAGGAUCCAUGCUCGUCCCAUGACGUAGACAUGUGACCUCGUAUUGUGUGCACCGUCGGGGCGGAGCAAGAGCGUACACGUUGAGACCCGAAAGAUGGUGAACUAGGCUUGUGAAGGUUGAAGCCAGAGGAAACUCUGGUGGAGGACCGUAGCGAUUCUGACGUGCAAAUCGAUCGUAUAACGUGAGUAUAGGGGCGAAAGACUAAUCGAACUAUCUAGUAGCUGGUUCCCUCCGAAGUUUCCCUCAGGUUAGCUGGCAUUCUGAGAAAUAAACAGUUUUAUCCGGUAAAGCGAAUGAUUUGAGGCAUUGGGGAUAAAUCAUCCUCAAGCUAUUCUCAAACUUUAAAUGGGUGAGAAGCUUAAAUCGUUUAAUUGGAGUUUUGCAUUGAACGUGAGUGCCAAGUGAGCCAUUUUUGGUAAGCAGAACUAGCGCUGUGGGAUGAACCAAACGUUCGGUUAAUGUCAAUAAAGACUAAUCAAAACUUAACCUUGAAUACCAAUCACGAGAAAAUGCAUACUCCUACUAAUCAUGAGUUGAAUUAGUUUAUUGACCGAAAUGCUUAUCUUUACA